CCUACGGGAGGCAGCAGUGGGGAAUUUUGGACAAUGGGCGCAAGCCUGAUCCAGCAAUGCCGCGUGAGUGAAGAAGGCCUUCGGGUUGUAAAGCUCUUUUGUCAGGGAAGAAACGGUGGAGGUUAAUACCUUCUGCUAAUGACGGUACCUGAAGAAUAAGCACCGGCUAACUACGUGCCAGCAGCCGCGGUAAUACGUAGGGUGCAAGCGUUAAUCGGAAUUACUGGGCGUAAAGCGUGCGCAGGCGGUUGUGCAAGACAGAUGUGAAAUCCCCGGGCUCAACCUGGGAAUUGCAUUUGUGACUGUACGGCUAGAGUGUGUCAGAGGGGGGUAGAAUUCCACGUGUAGCAGUGAAAUGCGUAGAGAUGUGGAGGAAUACCGAUGGCGAAGGCAGCCCCCUGGGAUAACACUGACGCUCAUGCACGAAAGCGUGGGGAGCAAACAGGAUUAGAUACCCUGGUAGUCCACGCCCUAAACGAUGUCUACUAGUUGUCGGGUCUUUAUUGACUUGGUAACGCAGCUAACGCGUGAAGUAGACCGCCUGGGGAGUCGGUCGCAAGAUUAAAACUUAAAGGAAUUGACGG
rnacentral:rRNA from 1 species